rnacentral:ncRNA from 1 species
UAACUGCAAUUUUAUCCUAGAUAUGCCAAAAAGUUAAGGGCUGCUUACCAGGGUAACCGGUAAGUAUAUCCUGUCAAAUUCGGGGAAACCUUUUAUAUGGCAAUCCCGAGCCAAGGUCGCUGUGGCGACAAGGUGUAGAGACUGUAUGGCAGGUAUCCGCGUAAGUGGAUAAAGAGACAGUCCAGACCACAAACCCGAA